ACAACAUAUAUUAAAAAUAUAUUAUAGCGUGUACUCUCCUCUCUGUACCACAGAAACCCUAGAUCAUCAUCAUGUCUGGUAUGUACGGUCACGAAGGCGACGGAUCUGCUCCUCCGUCUUACGGCGGCGGCGGAUAUGGAGGCGGAGGGGGAUACGGAGGCAGCCGUGAUGCUGGAGGUUACGGCGGAGGUAAUAGAGGAGGUUACGAUGGCAGUGGCGGCGGCGGAGGUUACGGCGGUGGCGGAGGUCGUGAUGGCGGUGGAGGAGGUUAUGGGAAUCGAGGCGGCGGAGGUGGCAGAGGCGGCGGCGGCGGAGGAUAUGGUGGUAAUUCACAAAGUAGAGGUGGUGGAUAUCAAGGGGGAAGUGGUGGCAGAGGAGGUGGCCGUGGCGGUGGAGGAAGUGGCAGGGACGGAGAUUGGCGUUGCCCUAAUGCCAGCUGUGGGAAUAUGAAUUUUGCGAGAAGAGACAAGUGUAACAAGUGUGGUGCACCGUCUCCGGCUGGUCCUGGUGAUAGUCAUGGCAGUGACGGUGGCAAUUACAGCAGAGGUGGUGGUGGUGGUGGGAGAUAUGGUGAUAGCAGAGGUAAAGGUGAUAACUAUGACAGUGGGAGAGGUAGUGCGUCUUAUGGAGGAAGAGACGGGGGUGGUUAUAAUCAAAGCGCUCCAUCUUAUGGUGGCUCUGGCAACAACUACCCACCACCAUCGAACUCUUACAAUGCGAACCCUAUUUACGAUGCUGAUAAUGCAGUUCCUCCACCGACAAGCUAUACUGGUGGGCCUACAUCGUAUCCUCCAUCAUAUGGCGCUUCUACUGGUUAUGGGGGUGAUGCUAAUUCUGACUCUCGUGGUGGUGGUCGGGGUGGACCACCUGGUGGGCAACGUAAUGAUGGUGGUCUGUAUGGCGCUCCUCCUGUAACUGAAGAAAAAGUGAAGCAAUGUGAUGAUAAAUGUGAUGAUACCUGCGACAAUGCUAGAAUUUACAUAUCUAAUUUGCCUCCGGAUGUCACCGUUGAUGAACUGCAAAAUCUCUUUGGAGGAAUUGGACAAGUUGCAAGAAUCAAGCAAAAGAGAGGCUACAAGGAUCAGUGGCCCUGGAACAUUAAAAUAUACACAGAUGAAAAAGGAAAAUCCAAAGGCGAUGGUUGUGUAGUCUAUGAAGAUCCUUCUGCAGCCCAUUCUGCUGGGGGCUUUUUUAAUAAUUAUGAAAUGAGAGGCUAUAAAAUCACUGUUGGAAUGGCUGAGAAGUCGGCACCAAGACCUGCUCCUGCACAUGGUCAAGGAGGUGGAAGAGGAGGUGGAGGUGGGAGAGGUGGCUAUGGUGGUGGUGGACGCAGAGACAACUAUGGUGGUCCAGAUAGGAACAACCGUGGCGGGAACCGUUCAAAUCCAUACUGAGCUUAAGCCUGAACAAUUUAUGUACUUGAAAAGCUAUUGGUUGAAGGACUUUUUUUGUUUUUCUUUUUAAUGCCUGUUUGGAAGUUGCUCUCUUAGAUGUGGAAAUAGAUUCAAGUGGAAUGUCUACAAAUUGCUGCUAAGAUAGUUUGAUAUUAUCAGGUGAGUGUUGCCUCUUUAUGCUAGUUUUGGGAUGAGAGGGUCCUGUGGAUUUGCAUGUUAAUUAUUUUCUUUCUAUAAUUUUCAGAACUAGUUGUAAUAUUUUUAUAUAAUUGCUAACAUAAACCUGCCAUAGAGACCUAGUGUAUAUUAUUAGACAGAAUCCAUGACUGUGAUCCAUAAUUCAUGAACUGCAUUUUUUGUGUC